CACACACUGCAUUCAUACACACACUGCACUCAUACACACACUGCACUCAUACACACAUACUGCAUUCAUACACACAUACACUGCACUCAUACACACACACUGCACUCAUACACACACACACUGCAUUCAUACACACACUGCGCACUCAUAUACACACUGCAUUUAUACACACACUGCGCACUCAUACACACACACUGCAUUCAUCAUAUACACACACUGUAAAUAAAUAUUCAAUUAAUAUAAUUUUUUUAGGAUCUAAUUUUAUUUAGAAAUUUACCAGUAGCUGCUGCAUUUCCCACCCUAGUCUUAUACUCGAGUCAAUAAGUUUUCCCAGUUUUUUGGGGUAAAAGUAGGGGCCUCGGCUUAUAUUCGGGUCGGCUUAUACUCGAGUAUAUACGGUACAUCAUGAUUUUUAAAUGUAAACACCAAUUCUUGCCAAUUGUUAUAAAAGUUAAUAUUUGUAACCAGAUGAACAUUUCAGAUGUAUGUUAAAUAACUUUUCAGAUUCGUUUAACAGUUACCCGGUAUAUCAGAAUUGAUGCCACAUCAUUACAAAUAUAUAUGAUAAUUAUGGGAUAAACUAUAUCCAGUUUAAUUGGUUAUUUACUUGUGUCAUGAGAACAACUUAAAUGAAAAGGUAUACAUUGUGUGUACGUAGAUUUGCAGAAUAACAAUGGGAUGAAGAUCUUUUUCUGAACUUUGUAUGUUUGUUUUAUAACAUUUUUGCUGUGCAAAAGUGUAUCUUAUCUCUGCAGACAUAAAUUGAAUUCACUUGGAUUAAUGGAAUUCAUUUACCAAAAGUGAAAAUAUCAAGCCGACACCCCCAACAGUCCUGAUUACAGAGUUCUUUUUUCAUAGUCCUGAUUUUGUUACCUGGUGUUCCAUAUCCAGGAUCACCGAAGAGCUGUCCUCAGGAACGUCAGUGCAAGCAUAUCAUUAUGCAGGGUCUUUUAUGAUGGUGGCCCCUACAGUGAGUGGACAAGCCCAUCCAUUAUGGGCAUAACCAGUGACAUAAGUGGCAAUGCCCUCCUUAGCUCAUUGGCACCGAUCUCAUGCCUCCCAAUGUUGGGAGGUAUAAAAUAUUGUAUGAAUAAACAGCCUUAUGCUAUAUGACUAAUCCAUAUUCAUGCUGAAUAAUUUGUAUCACUGUGAUGUACCUUAAAUAGAAAACUAUAUAUAUAUAUAUUUUAUAAAUUUUCCUCCAAAAUCAUUUUAUUAAAAGAAAUUUCAGUUUUCUUUUUUUUUUUUUUUUAAACAAUUUGUUGGUUUUUAUCCACCCUUGUCAAUGGAUUCUGGCAGUUUCUGUGCAUUACAAUUACCACUAUAUCCAGCCAGCACCUGGCAAGUUGAAUGAACUUGGAACUACGGUCAGCAAUUAUAUGUAUGUUCUCAAUUACAAUUAUCUGUGAUUUAUAAAUAAUUUUUAGGAUUGGGGUCCCUUGUUUAUUUAACCUGUAACUUUGAUUUACAUCUUGUGUAGAUAUGACUGUUGUGGACAGUAUUGAGGCAAGAAUUACCUAAAUCAGUUCCUUUUGUUGUAUAGAAGUAUAGCGUGCAGGGGGCUUGUUAUUACCUGGGUGCAAUUUGUGGUGAUGGCCUCCUAAUACCUAGAAAUAAUCAAUAUUUGUGGUAAUCAACUAUUGCUGUCAUUGUCACUAAAAUGGUCUUUCUAUAAAUCAGUUAAAGACAAUAAAUCUUUUAUUUUCAUCUAACUGAGCAAAAAUGUAAUCUGACAAAUGUUCAAUGUUCGUCAUUUUUGCCAAUUAUUUAAAUUCUACAGCAAUCUCAUAACAUUGUUUUUAAAGUUCCC